rnacentral:rRNA from 1 species
UACGAAGGGGGCUAGCGUUGCUCGGAAUCACUGGGCGUAAAGCGCCCGUAGGCGGAUUGCUAAGUCAGGGGUGAAAUCCUGGAGCUCAACUCCAGAACUGCCUUUGAUACUGGCGAUCUUGAGUCCGGGAGAGGUGAGUGGAGCUGCGAGUGUAGAGGUGAAAUUCGCAGAUAUUCGCAAGAACACCAGUGGCGAGGGCGGCUCACUGGCCCGGUACUGACGCUGAGGUGCGAAAGCGUGGGGAGCAAACAGG